GUAUAUUUGAUCGAUAAUUUCGCGGUCACACUGUGAUAUUCAGGAAAAAAGCGAUUCAGAUUAUUUUAAGAGCAAAGAAUAAGUUUUUGCCACGUCAAGAAGCCAACUAGUCAAUCCGCCAAGCUGUUUAAUCUACCGCAAGUCUAUAACAGGACGACGGAAGACAGUCGUCACAGCAGCAGCAGCAGAAUGACCGUGUGUAUCCAUCAGACACUUUUACAUUGUGUAUUGCAAUUUUUACCCCCUCCCUACUCAUUCUAUCAGGUGCACGAAUUCAAGGUGGAAAUGACCUGCGGCGGGUGUGCCAGUGCCGUGGAGCGCGUUUUGGGUAAAUUGGGCGGUAAGUAGGGGAAGAAUGAAAUGGUCUAGUAAUGGGUAUUAUACUAAAUCACGUUAAAGCCCCCUUAUCAGACAGUUCUCUGUCUAUAAACGCGGCUACCAACUAAAACUUUUUCGCCAUUCUUACAGAUAAGGUCGAGAAAGUCAACAUUAACUUGGAGGAAAGAACGGUUACCGUCACGUCGAACCUGUCGUCCGAUGAACUGUUGGAACAGCUGCGUAAGACCGGCAAGAGCAGCUCAUACAUCGGUGUGAAAAAAUGAGACGAGUUCCUCAGCAAGUUUCAGAAAUACGGCAAGCUGAAACUUGAAGUCUAAUAGGGACGACGCAGGCCAGUCCCCACAUUGCUGAUAUCACUUAUGACCCAUACAAACCAUUCGAGCUGGAGACGCUGCUUGGUGCAUUCCUUCAGUGAUACCCAAGAUGUAUGCGAUGUGCAUAUACUUACAUAGCAACGAGUGGUAUCAUGCGAAUCAAGGAAAAAAGUUAAAUCAUAAUUAAUCAAAAAUAAAUAGGAGUUAUCUACAAGUUUUACAUUAGUAUUCGAUCUUGCCCAAGUUAUAAGUAGCUCGUAGUUAGCCAAUCUAGAGUUAAAUUAUUCUAUACUUAUUACUAGAAGCAGAAUUUUAAAUUCAAUUUAACAAAUGAAGUCUAAACAAAGUGCCAAGUUUUGCCUGAAAGCAGUAUAAUAAUUAUGAGUGCAAAAAUUUCCAAUGUUGUGGCCAAUAAAUGCUCUACUCGUAUGCCAACUGCUCUCAAAUGAUUAAACAUAGUUCAAUGACGAAUUUCAAUAUCAAACAUUUUUUGCAAUAUCAAAUACUUACAAAUAUAUUUAAAUCUUAAACCAAUA
rnacentral:lncRNA from 1 species